AAACAUUACCCUUUUGCACUAUCUCAUCACUAUUGUGGAAAAUAAGUACCCUAGUGUUCUCAAUCUAAAUGAAGAAUUGCGAGAUAUUCCUCAAGCUGCGAAAGUAAACAUGACUGAGCUGGACAAAGAAAUAAGUACCUUGAGAAGUGGCUUGAAAGCAGUAGAGACAGAGCUGGAAUAUCAGAAGUCUCAGCCCCCACAUCCCGGAGAUAAGUUUGUGUCUGUUGUCAGCCAGUUCAUCACAGUAGCCAGCUUCAGCUUCUCUGAUGUUGAAGACCUUCUAGCAGAAGCUAAAGACCUGUUUACUAAAGCAGUGAAGCACUUUGGGGAAGAGGCUGGCAAAAUACAACCAGAUGAGUUCUUUGGCAUUUUUGAUCAAUUUCUUCAAGCUGUGUCAGAAGCCAAACAAGAAAACGAAAA
rnacentral:sRNA from 1 species